rnacentral:rRNA from 1 species
GACGGGGGAUGCAAGCGUUAUCCGGAAUCUCGGGGCGUAAAGCGUCUGUAGGUGGUGAUGCAAGUCACUGGUGCAAAACUCUGGCUCAACCGGAGGAAAGCCAGUGAAACUGCAUGACUAGAGUGUGGGAGAGGUAGAAGGAAUUCCCUGAGUAGCGGUGAAAUGCGUAGAUACAGGGAAGAACACCGGAGGCGAAAGCGUUCUACUGGAACACAACUGUCACUGAGAGACGAAAGCUAGGGGAGCGUAUGGG